UGGGGAAUAUUGGACAAUGGGGGCAACCCUGAUCCAGCAAUGCCGCGUGAGUGAGGAAGGCCUUAGGGUUGUAAAGCUCUUUCGCGCGCGACGAUGAUGACGGUAGCGCGAGAAGAAGCCCCGGCUAACUUCGUGCCAGCAGCCGCGGUAAUACGAAGGGGGCGAGCGUUGUUCGGAUUUACUGGGCGUAAAGGGCGCGCAGGCGGCUUGUCAAGUCAGGCGUGAAAGCCCCGGGCUUAACCUGGGAGGUGCGCUUGGGACUGGCGAGCUAGAGAUCGGGAGAGGAGAGUGGAAUUCCCAGUGUAGAGGUGAAAUUCGUAGAUAUUGGGAAGAACACCGGUGGCGAAGGCGGCUCUCUGGACCGAUACUGACGCUGAGGCGCGAAAGCGUGGGGAGCAAACAG
rnacentral:rRNA from 1 species